rnacentral:rRNA from 1 species
UACGAAGGGGGCUAGCGUUGCUCGGAAUGACUGGGCGUAAAGGGCGCGUAGGCGGCUUGCACCGUCAGAUGUGAAAUUCCUGGGCUUAACCUGGGGCUGCAUUUGAUACGUGUGGGCUUGAGUGCGGAAGAGGGUCGUGGAAUUCCCAGUGUAGAGGUGAAAUUCGUAGAUAUUGGGAAGAACACCGGUGGCGAAGGCGGCGACCUGGUCCGUGACUGACGCUGAGGCGCGAAAGCGUGGGAGCAAACAGG